rnacentral:rRNA from 1 species
UACCUACGGGAGGCAGCAGUGAGGAAUAUUGGUCAAUGGGCGGAAGCCUGAACCAGCCAAGUCGCGUGAGGGAAUAAGGCCCUACGGGUCGUAAACCUCUUUUGCCGGGGAGCAAGGGCGGGGACGUGUCCCGGCCCGGAGAGUACCCGGAGAAAAAGCAUCGGCUAACUCCGUGCCAGCAGCCGCGGUAAUACGGAGGAUGCGAGCGUUAUCCGGAUUUAUUGGGUUUAAAGGGUGCGUAGGCGGUCUGUUAAGUCAGCGGUAAAAUUGCGGGGCUCAACCCCGUCGAGCCGUUGAAACUGGCA